UACGGGGGGGCAAGCGUUGUUCGGAAUUACUGGGCGUAAAGGGCUCGUAGGCGGCCAACUAAGUCAGACGUGAAAUCCCUCGGCUUAACCGGGGAACUGCCUCUGAUACUGGAUGGCUUGAGAUUGGGAGAGGGAUGCGGAAUUCCAGGUGUAGCGGUGAAAUGCGUAGAUAUCUGGAGGAAUACCGGUGGCGAAGGCGGCAUCCUGGACCGGCAUUGACGCUGAGGAGCGAAAGCCGGGGAGCAAACGGGG
rnacentral:rRNA from 1 species